rnacentral:rRNA from 1 species
GACGAACGCUGGCGGCGUGCUUAACACAUGCAAGUCGAACGGUAAGGCCCUUCGGGGUACACGAGUGGCGAACGGGUGAGUAACACGUGGGUGAUCUGCCCUGCACUUCGGGAUAAGCCUGGGAAACUGGGUCUAAUACCGGAUAGGACCACUGCCUGCAUGGGUGGUGGUGGAAAGCUUUUGCGGUGUGGGAUGGGCCCGCGGCCUAUCAGCUUGGUGGUGGGGUGAUGGCCUACCAAGGCGACGGCGGGUAGCCGGUCUGAGAGGGUGACCGGCCACACUGGGACUGAGAUACGGCCCAGACUCCUACGGGAGGCAGCAAUGGGGAAUAUUGCACAAUGGGCGCAAGCCUGAUGCAGCGACGCCGCGUGAGGGAUGACGGCCUUCGGGUUGUAAACCUCUUUCAGCACCGACGAAGCGCAAGUGACGGUAGGUGCAGAAGAAGGACCGGCCAACUACGUGCCAGCCGCCGCAGUAA